rnacentral:rRNA from 1 species
AUUGAACGCUGGCGGCAGGCCUAACACAUGCAAGUCGAGCGGAGCGGCGGGCGGGUGGGUAAUGCCUGUGAAUCUGCCUGGUCGUGGGGGAUACCGUCCGGCAAGGGGCGCUAAUACCGCAUACUCUCAGUUGAGCCUAGGUUGGAUUAGCUAGUUGGUGGGGUAAAGGCCUACCAAGGCGACGAUCCGUAACUGGUCUGUGUGGAUGAUCAGCCACACUGGAACUGAGACACGGGCCAGACUCCUACGGGAGGCAGCAGUGGGGAAUAUUGGACAAUGGGCGAAAGCCUGAUCCAGCCAUGCCGCGUGUGUGAAGAAGGUCUUCGGAUUGUAAAGCACUUUAAGUUGGGAGGCGUUACCAACAGAAUAAGCACCGGCUAACUUCGUGCCAGCAGCCGCGGUAAUUC